AAGUCCUGGGCUGUCUCGGAGCCUGGGGCAGGGGGGCAGGAGGGGCUCAGGGAGAAAGUAUCUACAGCCCCUGGCCCUCUCUGCCCUUCCGUCCCCUGUCCCCAAGUACACUGGACCCAGCC
rnacentral:pre_miRNA from 7 species